CCUACAGCUACUGAGGUUUGACAUAACAUGCAUGGGCCAGAACUACCCACUGUAUUUUGUUCAUAGUCCAAACAAAACUGCUUGUUUGGUUCCUAGCUUUGGUUAAUUGUUCUGUCUCCUUUUCAGACUCCUUUUACCUUGUGAGAAGCAGUGCUGCCUUUACUACUGUUACAGGAAUGUCCCAAGCUCAAAGAUUUGUGCCACUAUCUGAAGAAUACCAGAUCAUGCUCAGCUCUCAGGAUCUUACUCUUCAGGUGUGCUGGAUACAAGACAAGCUGAGGGAGGAAGAAAGCGUGGACGUUAGUUACUCUUUGUGCGUGCUGCCAGGACGUGACUGCCGUUCAGAAGCAGAGACAAAGCAGCCGAGCCACGAGCCACGAGCCUCUCCUGCCCCGGUGAUGCUCUCCGUGCCCACAUGCAGCAGCAGGACAAAAGCAUCUCCCUCAUCCCUGGGGCAUAAAGGGAAUGGUGGAGCAAGAGAAAGCCUCAGAU
rnacentral:lncRNA from 1 species